GCAUAUCAAUAGCGGAGGAAAAGAAACCAACAGGGAUUGCCUCAGUAACGGCGAGUGAAGCGGCAAGAGCUCAAAUUUGAAAGCUGGCCCCCUCGGGGUCCGCAUUGUAAUUUGCAGAGGAUGCUUCGGGAGUGGCCCCCAUCUAAGUGCUCUGGAACGGGCCGUCAUAGAGGGUGAGAAUCCCGUAUGGGAUGGGGUGUCCGCGACCAUGUGAAGCUCCUUCGACGAGUCGAGUUGUUUGGGAAUGCAGCUCUAAAUGGGUGGUAAAUUUCAUCUAAAGCUAAAUAUUGGCCGGAGACCGAUAGCGCACAAGUAGAGUGAUCGAAAGAUGAAAAGCACUUUGAAAAGAGAGUUAAAAAGCACGUGAAAUUGUUGAAAGGGAAGCGCUUGCGACCAGACUCGCCUACGGGGUUCAGCCGGUAUUCGUACCGGUGUACUUCCCCGUGGGCGGGCCAGCGUCGGUUUGGGCGGCCGGUCAAAGGCCCUCGGAAUGUAACGCCUCUCGGGGCGUCUUAUAGCCGAGGGUGCCAUGCGGCCAGCCCGGACCGAGGAACGCGCUUCGGCACGGACGCUGGCAUAAUGGUCGUAAGCGACCCGUCUUGAAACACGGACCAAGGAGUCUAACAUCUACGCGAGUGUUCGGGUGUCAAACCCGUGCGCGCAGUGAAAGCGAACGGAGGUGGGAACCCUCACGGGUGCACCAUCGACCGAUCCUGAUGUCUUCGGAUGGAUUUGAGUAAGAGCGUAGCUGUUGGGACCCGAAAGAUGGUGAACUAUGCCUGAAUAGGGCGAAGCCAGAGGAAACUCUGGUGGAGGCUCGCAGCGGUUCUGACGUGCAAAUCGAUCGUCAAAUUUGGGUAUAGGGGCGAAAGACUAAUCGAACCAUCUAGUAGCUGG
rnacentral:rRNA from 1 species